UAAAGAACCUAUCCUUUAGCGGGGGAUAGCCCUUAGAAAUGAGGGGUAAUACCGCAUAAGGUAUCUAUCACGCAUGUGAUGGAUAGGAAAGGGUUAUGUAAAUAACUCACUGAAGGAGGGCUUUGCGGCCUAUCAGGUAGUUGGUGGGGUAAUGGCCUACCAAGCCAAAGACGGGUAGCUGGUCUGAGAGGAUGGUCAGCCACACUGGGACUGAGAUACGGCCCAG
rnacentral:rRNA from 1 species